GCCUGGCAGGAGAGGGCAGAUCUCCGUGCAAAGUAUGUCAGAAAGCAGAUGGAAGCCAGGCCCCCUCCUGAAAGAGGCUCCUUGAAGAUAAUUCUAACAUCUUUGUCAUCAGUGUUGACAUCUCUUGAUUGUAUCCUGUCAUUCCAUUUGAGAUCUUCCUGGUUCUGGCUGGCAUCCUCUGACAUCACUCCAGCAGAAGAAAGGGAAGGAACACGCUGCAUUACUGCGUGAUUCAGUGUGGCGGGAAUCUAAAAGGUCGAGGAUCGAGAAGCCUGCAGGAUGGCAAAGUGAGGGACCCCGGCAGUGCGACCUCAGGAAUCCACUCCCGGAACUCUGACUGGGGUGCCUGUGGAGGCUCUGAAGGUACAGCAGCCAGGCGCUCUGUGGCAUUCUGAAUACUGGCACGCAGCCUUCGGCCUCUGCCAGCUUUUGUGAGCUGCCCUGCACCAGGCAGAGGGGGCCCCCAGGCCUGGCACAGGGUCUGACACAUGGCAAAUGCUACAGAAAUAGCUGUGGACCGCCUGACUGCAAGAUCGUAUUGAACAUCUGGUGCCAGGCCUCAGCCUGUGCUGCUGCAGCCAGGAGCAAAUACGGGGAAGUCUGGCUAAGGAGAACGCAUGCCUGUGUGGGCCCCAAGAAUCCAUCUUGAGAUCAGGAGGAACAAGAGCCCAGUGACCUUGACAGCCAGCUCAGGCAGCCUGUUAAAUCCCAUGCCCAGGUUUCUAGCUUCUGCCCCAGAGGCCCAAGAUGAGGAUGUGGCAGCACAGGCUCUAAGCACCAUGUCCUUCUCAGAGAAUAAACCUUUCCCUGCAGCCCUUGUGGGAACACAUUUUUCAGCUGAAUCUUUGUUCCCAAGACCUUUUUCUGUUAGCAUUGGGCCUGCUUCAAGAUGACAGUAGCCACC
rnacentral:sRNA from 1 species